UACGAAGGGGGCUAGCGUUGUUCGGAAUUACUGGGCGUAAAGCGCGCGCAGGCGGUCUUCCAAGUCAGUGGUGAAAUCCUGGAGCUCAACUCCAGAACUGCCUUCGAUACUGUAGAGCUUGAGUUCGGGAGAGGUGAGUGGAACUGCGAGUGUAGAGGUGAAAUUCGUAGAUAUUCGCAAGAACACCAGUGGCGAAGGCGGCUCACUGGCCCGAUACUGACGCUGAGGUGCGAAAGCGUGGGGAGCAAACAGG
rnacentral:rRNA from 1 species